rnacentral:rRNA from 1 species
AAAGAAUUAUUUCUAUUUCAUUUUUAAAGGGAAACCUUAUUACAAUGGCUCAACUUUUCUUUUUUCUUCACAUUAAGAUUUUAAGUGUCUAUUUAGUUAUAUCACUAACACACCCUUUUCUUCCUAACAAUAUUAAUAAGACUAUUCAUAAAAACCUUAUGACAAUGUUAUAAUCAGUAAAAAAAAAAAAAAAAAAAAAAACUAAGCAAAAAGAAUUUAUGACUGUUUACCAAAAACAUUUCUUUUAGAAUCAUUAAAAGUAGACCCUGCUCAGUGAAUUUUCAACAGCCGCAGAUCAACUGUGCUAAGGUAGCAUAAUAACUUGCCUUUUAAUUUGAGGCUAGAAUGAACGGGAUCACAUUAAAUUAACUAUCUCUUUUCUUUAUUUUGAAAUUAAAUUAAUAGUAAAAAUUCUAUUAUAUGUUAAAAGGACGACAAGACCCUAUCAAACUUUACUAAAGUUUAACUGGGGCGGUUAAAAAAAAAUUCUUUUUAAGAUUUAACUAAUUAUUUAAUAACCAAGUUACUGUAGGGAUAACAGCAUAAUUUUUUUUAAGAGAACUUAUCAAAAAAAAAGAUUGUGACCUCGAUGUUGAAUUAAAUUUCCUAAUUCACGAAACCCUGAAUAUAGUAAGUCUGUUCGACUUUUAAAAAUUUACAUGAUUUGAGUUCAAACCGGUGUAAGCCAGGUUGGUUUCUAUCCUUUUUUAUAAAAAAUUAGUACGAAAGGAAAAUAUUUUAUUUUA